UGGGGAAUCUUGCACAAUGGGCGAAAGCCUGAUGCAGCAACGCCGCGUGCGGGAAGACAGCCCUAGGGUUGUAAACCGCUUUCAGCAGGGAAGAAAAUGACGGUACCUGCAGAAGAAGGUGCGGCCAACUACGUGCCAGCAGCCGCGGUGACACGUAGGCACCAAGCGUUGUCCGGAUUUAUUGGGCGUAAAGAGCUCGUAGGCGGUUCAGUAAGUCGGGUGUGAAAACUCUGGGCUCAACCCAGAGAGGCCACCCGAUACUGCUGUGACUUGAGUACGGUAGGGGAGCGGGGAAUUCCUGGUGUAGCGGUGAAAUGCGCAGAUAUCAGGAGGAACACCAGUGGCGAAGGCGCCGCUCUGGGCCGUAACUGACGCUGAGGAGCGAAAGCAUGGGUAGCAAACAGGAUUAGAUACCCUGGUAGUCCAUGCCGUAAACGUUGGGCACUAGGUGUGGGUCUCAACCAACGAGAUCCGCGCCGUCGCUAACGCAUUAAGUGCCCCGCCUGGGGAGUACGGUCGCAAGACUAAAACUC
rnacentral:rRNA from 1 species